UCAAAAUGGUGGCUCUCAGUGACAGGGAAUCCAAAGUUAAAUAAUUAUUACGUUUUAUUCGAAUUUAUGGUGUAGACAUGCUACCUUGUAUGUCAAACCAUGGAAAGACAAGGAGAAAACUUCAAUGCAAACCCACAUGAUGUGGAAAGGGCCGAAAAAGACUCUAUAAAACUUUUAUACAAAUGUUUUUGCAAUAAUUUACAGCUGGGACAGUGGGAGGUUGCCAGAUCAUGCAUACAACAAUUGAAAGAAAAAGAGGCAAUAAUAGGAUGUGAUAUUAAUGACAUCCUUACUGAAAUUGUUGAAAAUCCGUACCAACAAAGUCUUGGGUCCAGUACACUAAACUCACCAAGUCAGUUGUCCUGGUUGUGCCUGUUGGAGUGUCAAACUUUAUCUGAUAAAUCCAGUGAGGAGGAGAUAUUCUGGUUAACCAAACUGACAAAAGAUGCAGACUUCAGAUUACUUUUGGCAGAAAUACCUCCAGACACAGAUUCCAAUAUUAUC